rnacentral:rRNA from 1 species
CGGGGAAUUUUGGACAAUGGGGGAAACCCUGAUCCAGCCAUCCCGCGUGUGCGAUGAAGGCCUUCGGGUUGUAAAGCACUUUUGGCAGGAAAGAAACGUCAUGGGUUAAUACCCCGUGAAACUGACGGUACCUGCAGAAUAAGCACCGGCUAACUACGUGCCAGCAGCCGCGGUAAUACGUAGGGUGCAAGCGUUAAUCGGAAUUACUGGGCGUAAAGCGUGCGCAGGCGGUUCGGAAAGAAAGAUGUGAAAUCCCAGAGCUCAACUUUGGAACUGCAUUUUUAGCUACCGAGCUAGAGUGUGUCAGAGGGGGGUGGUAUUCCGCGUGUAGCAGUGAAAUGCGUAGAUAUGCGGAGGAACACCGAUGGCGAAGGCAGCCUCCUGGGAUAACACUGACGCUCAUGCACGAAAGCGUGGGGAGCAAACAGG